rnacentral:pre_miRNA from 1 species
CAUCUACUCCCUUCGUUCGGAAUUACUUGUCGCAAAAAUGAAUGUAUCUAGACGUAUUUUAGUUCUAGAUACAUCCAUUUCCGAGACAAGUAAUUCCGAACGAAGGGAGUACAUU